GAUGAACGCUGGCGGCGUGCCUAAUACAUGCAAGUCGAGCGAACGGACGAGAAGCUUGCUUCUCUGAUGUUAGCGGCGGACGGGUGAGUAACACGUGGAUAACCUACCUAUAAGACUGGGAUAACUUCGGGAAACCGUAGCUAAUACCGGAUAAUAUUUUGAACCGCAUGGUUCAAAAGUGAAAGACGGUCUUGCUGUCACUUAUAGAUGGAUCCGCGCUGCAUUAGCUAGUUGGUAAGGUAACGGCUUACCAAGGCAACGAUGCAUAGCCGACCUGAGAGGGUGAUCGGCCACACUGGAACUGAGACACGGUCCAGACUCCUACGGGAGGCAGCAGUAGGGAAUCUGCCGCAAUGGGCGAAGGCCUGACGGAGCAACGCCGCGUAAGUGAUGAAGGUCUUCGGAUCGUAAAACUCUGUUAUUAGGGAAAAACAUAUUUGUAAGUAACUGUGCACAUCUUGACGGUACCUAAUCAGAAAGCCACGGCUAACUACGUG
rnacentral:rRNA from 1 species